rnacentral:rRNA from 1 species
UACGAAGGGUGCAAACGUUGCUCGGAAUUAUUGGGCGUAAAGGGCGCGUAGGCGGCUGUACAAGUCAAAGGUGAAAUCCCUCGGCUCAACUGAGGAACUGCCUUUGAAACUGUACGGCUUGAGGCCGGGAGGGGUAGCGGAAUUCCCAGUGUAGCGGUGAAAUGCGUAGAUACUGGGAGGAACACCAGCGGCGAAGGCGGCUACCUGGACCGGUUCUGACGCUGAGGCGCGAAAGCGUGGGUAGCAAACAGG